AGCGAACGCUGGCGGCAGGCUUAACACAUGCAAGUCGAGCGGGCAUCUUCGGAUGUCAGCGGCAGACGGGUGAGUAACACGUGGGAACGUACCCUUCGGUUCGGAACAACUCUGGGAAACUGGAGCUAAUACCGGAUACGCCCUUAUGGGGAAAGGUUUACUGCCGAAGGAUCGGCCCGCGUCUGAUUGGCUAGUUGGUGGGGUAACGGCCUACCAAGGCGAGGAUCAGUAGCUGGGCUGAGAGGAUGCUCAGCCACACUGGGACUGAGACACGGCCCAGACUCCGACGGGAGGCAGCAGUAGGGAAUAUUGGGCAAUGGGCGCAAGCCUGAUCCAGCCAUGCCGCGUGAGUGAUGAAGGCCUUAGGGUUGUAAAGCUCUUUUGUCCGGGACGAUAAUGACGGUACCGGAAGAAUAAGCCCCGGCUAACUUCGUG
rnacentral:rRNA from 1 species